rnacentral:lncRNA from 10 species
CUUAGCGAUGACCAGUUUAGCAGGGCCUGGGAGCUCUUAUACUAAGUUUGGUUUCACAAUAGCGGGUCCCGCCUUAGCUAGGCCUGUGUUUUUUAAACUCCCCUGGAAGUCAGGAAAUGCAGGCAAACGGGAUUUUUCAGUUUUGCCAAGCCCCAGUUGACAAUAGCAAGUCCCGCCGAAAGCGACUUUUUUUCCUACCAUUUUAUAGUCUAAGCUAAACAGGUUUAACCAUGACUGUUAUUUAUUUAUUUAUUUAAUUUGGUAGGAAAUUUAGACUUAGGUGUAACAUGUACUGGUUUAGAUCGGAUAGGGAUAUCCUAAUCGUAGGAUUGCAUUACAAACAUUUGUAAUUUCUUCUUUGUAGGAAUGGUUGUCAGCAAUUUUUGCUUAUUUUUUAAUUGUCUUUUUGUGUCUUGCUCUGAGAACGACAUUACCGAUGUGCUUGCCUUUCAUUUCUACUUGCAUUUUAGGCUUCUAUUAUUUUUAAAUUGUAUUUCUAUUUAAAUGUUAUGUAUUUUUUUCUACUGAUUUUAAAUGUCUCAGCUUCGUGCUCCUUGACUUGCAUGCUCAGGACGCGGGGAGCCGAUCUCGGUCUCAGACUUGCUGCUGCCAGGUCCCGGGUUCUGUCUGGCGACUCCGCUUCUUAUGCGGAGCUGUCGGUUUUGCGUCAGCACUUUUGCCAGUAGCGCCCACUGGGCGUUUUCUCAAUUGGUGCACAAUUCUUAGCGCCCAACAGGACGUUUCAUGUUUUCGGGGCCCGUAAAUUCUCUGUGCUGUCUCUUUCUGGGUCCUAGAAACGCUAAUAUCUCGUAGGAACUUCCUGAACCCCUUUUUACGGUGCAGACCGGUGACUGCACCCAGCCUCUGUGCUCUCUAGUAAUUCCAUAGCACCGUUAGCUGCGGCUUUUUCUCUCACAGCACAUUACAACGGGUUAAAACACAUUAAACGACUUAAAACACAAUAAGAUGCCACAACACAUUUUUCUGUCACAACACAUUUAAACACAGUCAGUUCAUUUCUCCAGACAGGACUCCUAUCUAAGAGCCCGCAGUUUCUUUCUAGCAGCACCAUUUAUGGCACCUAAAUGGACAUUUGUUUGGCAACACCAGGGCAAUCCGCUGGGUGUCUGCUCUUGCUGAGUCCCAGCGCAGCCAGAUUAUUGUUAGCGAGGUCCUUAGUAGUGCCGAGCCCUAG